CUACGGUCAGAUCACGAUAAAAACACCGAUCAUCAUUCAAUCGCCAAAGUUAAGCACCAUACAGCCAGAUCAGUACUUAGAUGCGGGACCACUUGGGAAGACCUGGAACUGUAA